UAAUAAUAAUAAUGAUAAUAAUAAUAAUAAAUCAGGAAUGGUUCAUCUGAUCCUAUCCUUGUGAAACCUGGAGGUGUUCAGCACUGUAGGGAACUGUUCAGAAACUAUCCCUGCUGCAAUCUUAGAAGUUUGGCAAACAAGGAGGAAUUUGCGAAGGAAAGGAAAUCUGACUGCGAUGAACCAAUCAAGAAUUACUUCAGAAAAGACAGACUAUAUGACUGUGAUGAUCUAGUGAAGAAAGACAAGGAGGCAUUAUUUUUCUUCAUUAGGAAAACUAACAAACCAGAUAACGGCGGGUUUGAUUGUAUCUCUGUGUGUACAAACGGCGGGUAUAGGUUCCAACAACUGCCGCUUGGCGUUCUAAUGGCGAUGUUUCUUUUUAUUUGUAAAUUUUAGAAAAUUUGAUAAACGUUUCUUAAUCUUA